ensembl:lncRNA
GGUCUUCAUUUUUCUUUUUCAAAGAAUCAACUUCAUCUUCGACCAUAGCCUUCAUUUUCUUUUCCAAGGCCAGAGCUCUAAUAUUACUCUGGCAUUUCUGUUUGAUCUCCAUAUUCUGGGCCUUUUGGUUGUCUAUUACUUUGCCCAUUUGAUCUUUCUCGUCUGUUAAAUCUUUCACAGUUUUACCCAUUAAUUCGUUUUAGUCCUGUAGCUUUGUAUUACGUGUCAAAAGACCCUCAAUCCAACACUGCGAGGAUUGAUGUUGUUCCUCGCGUUCUUUAACCGCAUUGACGGCCACACCUCUACUAUUUUUUACUGUUCUCUCAAGCUUUUCUAUUUUGGAAUCAUACAUUUCCAUGACCUCUUCUAACUUUCUGUCUGCAGCAUUGGCUUUGUCUUCCAUUUUUUUAGUAUUUUCCUCGUAAAAUUGCUGCAUCUUAUUUUUAUUUUUUAUUUUCACUCGCUAGAUACGGGACUGACUUGAAUGAGGAAAAGAAAAGGGAGAAAGGAAGAGGGGGGAGAAACAGUUGGAGAAGAGGGAUGGGGAUAAAGGGCAGAAAAAACCUCGCGUUUUAUGGUGACUCCUGAAUUUCCUCCACUUCCUCCUCAUCCUUAAAAUACUCCCGAUGGGUGUCCACAGCAUUGUUCAGUCUGAUGGCAUCCUCCAUGACCUGGACAACAUGAUACCAUUAGAAUGACAUCAUAGAAUGAGGGGUGUGACCAGAGCCAGAAAUGCACUCAUUGAUCCUUUUGUUGAUUUAUUGCUAUCAUCAUACACUACUGAUCAACUAAUCGAAGUGCAAGUGUCACAGUCUGUUAUUUAUUCUCCCUCCAUGCAAGGCAACAUCCAGGGGUGGUUCUGUGGGUUCAGCAUGGCUGCCAGCCAUGCUGAACCAUCUGGUUCACUGGUGCUUAGGGCCUUUUUUAGGUCUUCAUUUUUCUUUUUCAAAGAAUCAACUUCAUCUUCGACCAUAGCCUUCAUUUUCUUUUCCAAGGCCAGAGCUCUAAUAUUACUCUGGCAUUUCUGUUUGAUCUCCAUAUUCUGGGCCUUUUGGUUGUCUAUUACUUUGCCCAUUUGAUCUUUCUCGUCUGUUAAUUCUUUCACAGUUUUACCCAUUAAUUCGUUUUAGUCCUGUAACUUUGUAUUACGUGUCAAAAGACCCUCAAUCCAACACUGCGAGGAUUGAUGUUGUUCCUCGCGUUCUUUAAAGCAACAAAACAACCCGAAGAGCCGGCUCUUUUUAGUGAGCCCAACCAAAAGAGCCGGAUCUCUAAAAAGAGCCGGAAAUCCCAUCACUAUUAGGGUGGGUUAGGUUAGGGGAAUGGAAACUCCUCCCUGCACAAGGAGGGCAGGAGUAGGUGCUAGUGAUGGGUCGUUCGCGAACGAAAUGGCUCUUAGAGCCGGCUCCUUAUCGCGAGCCGUCACGUGGGUUUUUUUUUUUUUUUUUUUUCUUUCUCUCAGCCUCUCUCUCGCACUUUUUUCCCGCUUCACUCUGCACGCGGGCCUUGUGCUUUACGCUGGGCAGAGGGGGGAGGGGCGGUAGUUACACUCAGUAGCACAGGAACAGAGCCAGAGAGAGAGAAAGAGAGGCAGGGACAGCAACAUUAGAAAGGUAUAGUAAUCAUCCACAACUAUUUUCGGUUGCAGAUGAUAAAGGAUUGAGAAAGUUUAUUCAUGCAGGUCCAUAUGACAGAGAAUAUGCAUGUUCUUUUAGUUUUCAUAUUAUAAUUUAUAUUUAAUUGUGUUGUGGUUUGCAGUGUUUUGUGUUCUUUUCACUUUAAAUUUGUGAAAGGAAAAAGCUGAAAAUUUAAAUAGUUAAAACUUGAAAUGUGAAUAGUUGAUUUUUGUAUUAUAUGAUUUAUUUAUUACAUUUUAUGUGGAGUGAAUAAAU